CAGUUAAGUUUGAUGGAUAUGCAGUUUAUUUUCAGAGACGAAAAGUUCACCGGCUUUGGACAACUUACCAUCACAGACAUAGAUGGAUCAAUAGAGAUGUCGCACAACCAACUUGCAGUUGACCGCCAUGACCUAGUGAGAUUCAUGUUGGUCCAAUUUUGCGGGAAAUUAUCAAAUGUGAUCUCGUCGAAUUUAAUGCAAAGACUACCACGUCUAACACGGCUUAAGGUAUGGUGGUGUGAUUCACUGGAAACAAUAUUUGACCUCCAAGGGUCGGUACGCGCUGGUACUACUGGUGAGGAAGGAUCAUCACUAAUUUGGUUCAGAGAUAUGAAAUUGAUGUAUUUGCCCAAGUUGACGCAUAUAUGGAAGAAUGUUUCCCAACAAACUCAUUAUUUCAGAAAUCUAGAAUCCCUAGAAAUGGAGAGGUGUGACAACUUGAGAUAUCUAUUCACAAUUUCCACGGUCAAGGUCCUUGUGCGUCUAAAUUAUCUAAGAAUUGGAAAUUGCAAGAAAAUAGAAAAGAUUGUUACCAGGGAAGAAGAAGAAGAAGAAGAUGGCGAUGAUGAAAAGGGGCAAAAUCAGUAUUUUCAGUGUGGAACUUGAAAAUCUUCCGAAUCUUGUGUGUAUUGGAAUUCCAGAAUCGCAAAUUCAUAUCUCCAAAUUGCGUGGUAGAUUUCUGCCCCAAGUAUCGAGGCUAUGAUGUGGAAGGGGAGUAAUAUUUACCAUUUGCUGCGGUGCAUCACCAAUCUUUUCAUAGAAAAGGUAUGUUGUUCUUGAUAAAUAGGUGUGGGUGGAUCUACUCAAUUUCUAUGAAGAUCCAAAAGUUGAAGAAGUAGAUAGCGGACCUAUUUAUGCAUAAAUCGGCUACAACUUUACAAGGUGUUCUUAUUUAUGAAAAACUGUUUAGUUGUUAUGAUUUCAUUUAACUUUUGUCCAAACUUGAAA